rnacentral:rRNA from 1 species
AUCGAGUUUUUGAACGCAAGUUGCGCCCGAAGCCUUUGGCUGAGGGCACGUCUGCCUGGGCGUCACGC